rnacentral:rRNA from 1 species
UACAGAGGUCUCAAGCGUUGUUCGGAUUCAUUGGGCGUAAAGGGUGCGUAGGCGGCCUGUUAAGUCGAACGUGAAAUCCCCGGGCUCAACCCGGGAACUGCGUCCGAUACUGGCAGGCUUGAAUUCGGGAGAGGGAUGCGGAAUUCCAGGUGUAGCGGUGAAAUGCGUAGAUAUCUGGAGGAACACCGGUGGCGAAGGCGGCAUCCUGGACCGAGAUUGACGCUGAGGCGCGAAAGCCAGGGGAGCAAACGGGG